rnacentral:rRNA from 1 species
AGAGUUUGAUCCUGGCUCAGGAUGAACUCUGGCGGCAUGCCUAACACAUGCAAGUCGAACGGGAGUUUAUAUAACGGAACUCUUCGGAGGGAAGAUAUAUAAACCUAGUGGCGGACGGGUGAGUAACGCGUGGGCAACCUGCCCUGUACCGGGGGACAACAGCCAGAAAUGGCUGCUAAUACCGCAUAAGCCUGCUGUGCCGCAUGGCACAGCAGGGAAAACCACGGUGGUACAGGAUGGGCCCGCGUCUGAUUAGUUAGUUGGCAGGGUAACGGCCUACCAAGACAACGAUCAGUAGCCGGCUUGAGAGAGUGGACGGCCACAUUGGGACUGAGACACGGCCCAGACUCCUGCGGGAGGCAGCAGUGGGGAAUAUUGCACAAUGGGGGGAACCCUGAUGCAGCAAUGCCGCGUGGGUGAAGAAGCACUCCGGUGCGUAAAGCCCUGUCAGCAGGGAAGAAAAUGACAGUACCUGACUAAGAAGCCCCGGCUAACUACGUGCCAGCAGCCGCGGUAAUACGUAGGGGGCAAGUGUUAUCCGGAUUUACUGGGUGUAAAGGGAGCGCAGGCGGCGUGGCAAGUCAGAUGUGAAAACCCGGGGCCCAACCCCGGGAGUGCAUUUGAAACUGCCAUGCUGGAGUGCCGGAGAGGUAAGUGGAAUUCCUAGUGUAGCGGUGAAAUGCGUAGAUAUUAGGAGGAACACCAGUGGCGGAGGCGGCUUACUGGACGGUAACUGACGCUGAGGCUCGAAAGCGUGGGGAGCAAACAGGAUUAGAUACCCUGGUAGUCCACGCAGUAAACGA